CCUACGGGUGGCAGCAGUGAGGAAUAUUGGUCAAUGGGCGGGAGCCUGAACCAGCCAAGUCGCGUGAGGGAAGACGGUCCUACGGAUUGUAAACCUCUUUUGCCGGGGAGCAACGGGGUCCUUGCGAGGGCCCGAUGAGAGUACCCGGAGAAAAAGCAUCGGCUAACUCCGUGCCAGCAGCCGCGGUAAUACGGAGGAUGCGAGCGUUAUCCGGAUUUAUUGGGUUUAAAGGGUGCGUAGGCGGAUUUUUAAGUCAGCGGUAAAAUGUCCGGGCUCAACCCGGGCCGGCCGUUGAAACUGGGGAUCUUGAGUGGGCGAGAAGUAUGCGGAAUGCGUGGUGUAGCGGUGAAAUUCAUAGAUAUCACGCAGAACUCCGAUUGCGAAGGCAGCAUACCGGCGCCCGACUGACGCUGAGGCACGAAAGCGUGGGGAUCGAACAGGAUUAGAUACCCCAGUAGUC
rnacentral:rRNA from 1 species